rnacentral:rRNA from 1 species
UACAGAGGGUGCGAGCGUUGUCCGGAAUCACUGGGCGUAAAGGGCGCGUAGGUGGCGGGUCACGCGUGCCGUGAAAGCCCGGGGCUCAACCCCGGGUCGGCGGUGCGAACGGGCUCGCUCGAGCGUACGAGAGGCAGGCGGAAUUCCGGGAGUAGCGGUGGAAUGCGUAGAGAUCCGGAAGAACACCGGUGGCGAAGGCGGCCUGCUGGCGUACGGCUGACACUGAGGCGCGACAGCGUGGGGAGCAAACAGG